rnacentral:tRNA from 9 species
GCGGGUGUAGUUUAGUGGUAGAACUUCAGCCUUCCAAGCUGAUCGUGCGGGUUCGAUUCCCGCCACCCGCUCCA